AGAGUUUGAUCCUGGCUCAGGAUGAACGCUGGCGGCGUGCUUAACACAUGCAAGUCGAACGGUGAAGGAGGAGCUUGCUCUUCUGGAUCAGUGGCGAACGGGUGAGUAACACGUGAGCAAUCUGCCCUUGACUCUGGGAUAACAGUUGGAAACAGCUGCUAAUACCGGAUACGAGACGUGACCGCAUGGUCAACGUCUGGAAAGAACUUCGGUCAAGGAUGAGCUCACGGCCUAUCAGCUAGUUGGUGAGGUAAUGGCUCACCAAGGCGACGACGGGUAGCCGGCCUGAGAGGGUGACCGGCCACACUGGGACUGAGACACGGCCCAGACUCCUACGGGAGGCAGCAGUGGGGAAUAUUGCACAAUGGGCGAAAGCCUGAUGCAGCAACGCCGCGUGAGGGACGACGGCCUUCGGGUUGUAAACCUCUUUUAGCAAGGAAGAAGCGAAAGUGACGGUACUUGCAGAAAAAGCGCCGGCUAACUACGUGCCAGCAGCCGCGGUAAUA
rnacentral:rRNA from 1 species